rnacentral:rRNA from 1 species
CCUACGGGGGGCAGCAGUGAGGAAUAUUGGUCAAUGGACGAGAGUCUGAACCAGCCAAGUAGCGUGAAGGAUGACUGCCCUAUGGGUUGUAAACUUCUUUUAUAUGGGAAUAAAAUGUUCCACGUGUGGGAUUUUGUAUGUACCAUAUGAAUAAGGAUCGGCUAACUCCGUGCCAGCAGCCGCGGUAAUACGGAGAAUCCGAGCGUUAUCCGGAUUUAUUGGGUUUAAAGGGAGCGUAGGUGGAUUGUUAAGUCAGUUGUGAAAGUUUGCGGCUCAACCGUAAAAUUGCAGUUGAAACUGGCAGUCUUGAGUACAGUAGAGGUGGGCGGAAUUCGUGGUGUAGCGGUGAAAUGCUUAGAUAUCACGAAGAACUCCGAUUGCGAAGGCAGUUCACUGGACUGCAACUGACACUGAGGCUCGAAAGUGUGGGUAUCAAACAGGAUUAGAUACCCCAGUAGUC